GGGAACUGAAACAUCUAAGUACCCUUAGGAGAAGAAAACAAAAGUGAUUUCCUGAGUAGCGGCGAGCGAAAUGGAACUAGCCCAAACCAUUUUGAUUUCGGUCAAAGUGGGGUUGUAGGACUUUCAACAUCUGUAAUUAUACUGAACUGGAACACGUUGGGAAGCGUGGCAAUAUACGGUGAUAGCCCAGUACAGGUAAAGUAUGUUAUGGUAGAAAGACUCCUGAGUAGGGCGGGGCACGUGAAACCCUGUCUGAAUCUGCCGGGACCAUCCGGUAAGGCUAAAUACUCCUGGAAUACCGAUAGUGAACAAGUACCGUGAGGGAAAGGUGAAAAGUACCCCUAACAGGGGAGUGAAAUAGACCUGAAACCGUGCGCUUACAAGCGGUCGGAGCUCUUCGGAGUGACGGCGUGCCUUUUGCAUAAUGAGCCUACGAGUUACUGCUCACUGGCAAGGUUAAGUUAAUAACGGAGCCGAAGCGAAAGCGAGUCUUAACAGGGCGUGCAGUCAGUGGGCGUAGACGCGAAACCCGGUGAUCUACCCAUGGGCAGGUUGAAGUUGUGGUAACACACAAUGGAGGACCGAACCAGUUGACGUUGAAAAGUCUUUGGAUGACCUGUGGGUAGGGGUGAAAGGCCAAUCAAACUCGGAAAUAGCUCGUACUCCCCGAAAUGCUUUUAGGAGCAGCGUAUAGUUAAGUGUAUAAGAGGUAGAGCUACUGGUUGGGCUAGGGGGAGUCACAUCCUACCAAACCCUAUCAAACUCCGAAUGCUUAUACAUGUUUCUAUGCAGUGAGGGUAUGGGUGCUAAGGUCCAUAUCCAAAAGGGAAAGAACCCAGAGCAUCAGCUAAGGUCCCCAAGUGUAUACUAAGUUGAGAAAAUGUGGUGUGAUUGCUUAGACAGCCAGGAUGUUGGCUUGGAAGCAGCCAUUCAUUUAAAGAGUGCGUAACAGCUCACUAGUCGAGCGGUUCGGCAUGGAUAAUAAUCGGGCAUAAACAUACUACCGAAGCUAUGGCAUCUUUAAGAUGGGUAGGGGAGCAUUCUAUAUGUAUUGAAGUUGAGCUGUGAGGCUUGGUGGAACGUAUAGAAAAGAAAAUGUAGGCAUAAGUAACGAUAAUGCGGGCGAGAAACCCGCACACCGAAAGACCAAGGUUUCCUCAGCUAUGCUAAUCAGCUGAGGGUUAGUCAGGACCUAACGCGAACCCGAACGGGGUAGUGGAUGGACAACGGGUUAAUAUUCCCGUACCUGCUCACACUAAAAGUGACGGAUCUCUGGAGUUGCUGCGUACUGACGGAAUAGUACGUUGAAGCAGUAAUGCGAUAGUACACUAAGGCUACGGCCGCGGUGAUAAUGUAGCGAAGGAGGUUCCAAGAAAAGCGAGUGAAGCAGCCUGUACCGUAAACCGACACAGGUGGUUGGGAUGAGAAUUCUAAGGUGCUCGAGAGAUUCAUGGCUAAGGAACUAGGCAAAAUCGACCCGUAACUUCGGGAGAAGGGUCGCCCUCCAAUGGAGGGCCGCAGUGAAGAGGUCCAGGCGACUGUUUAUCAAAAACACAGGGCUCUGCUAAAUCGA
rnacentral:rRNA from 1 species